GUCACCUCCACACUCAAGGUGUAUCAAGUAUAUGCAUACUCGCUUGACAAAAUAUUAGGCUGCCAGCUGGCUCGGUCGUGUCAUCGUGUGGUCCUUUCAGUUUGCCGAGUACCUUAGCCAGAGAAACAUGUAUACUAUAUUGAUUCUUCUUACGGUGGUGUUUGUGGCCUCAACUGCAAGCCACGACAGUGCAGUGUUUGCAAGUGAAAGUGAUUUGGAAAACAGUGUGAUUUUGCAUAGAAUCCGUCGAGAAGUUUUUAAAAACAAAGUGUGCCCCUCCGAUAAAGUGCUGGAUAAUAUUACCAAAAAGUGUGUGAAACCUAUCGAUAAUUCCAUCGAUUACAAAGAUUAUCCCGAAAUGGAAUACGACAUGGAUAAUACUUAAGAACCUAUUAACGACGCAAUGUCUACUUUCGAAAGAAAAAGGAAACGAAGAUACCUAGCUAAGAAAAGCGAGGGAAGAUCCAAAACGAUGUAGUAUAAUUAUUCAAAAAUAGUUGUAUGUUUGUUGUACAUACAUUACUUUAUUGUAUAUUACCUCUUAACACCUGCCUAAACAAGUAUUGUAUUCAAUCUUAAAUCGGUAUUCGGUAUCUGAGUAUUAAUGAAAAACUGUAUGUGCGUAUUGUGUUAGUUAUUUAUGUUUUUUUCUUUUUGUUAAGUAUUAUUAAAAGUUAAGAUUUAUAAGUACAGUUAAGUAUGGAGUCCACCAGUGGAUGACUAAGUGCUGCUGCUGAUGAUGAUGAAGGAGGUUGGCUCUGACUGAUCUUCCUGUGUCAAAAAGAACUUAACAAAUAAUUAUGUGAAAGGUUCGUAACUGUGGUCAAAGGAAGAAAAAUCUAGUCAUUUUAUGAAAAGCCUCAGUAAAUGAAUAGCUAACAUUAAUUUAGACUACUUAUUUGAGCUAAAGCUUUUUCGCGAGUAGGUUUCAUGUGCCUGAUGUUUUAUUUUUCGUGGGAAUGUAGAUAGAUAGAUAGAUAGAAUAUUCUUUAUUUGCACACACAUAUGAAAUAAACUUACAUAACUUAAAUGUAGUUGUGUAGUAAUGUUACAACCUGUAAAAAACUGUAUUGAUUUAAAAUGUAAAUAAUUAAUAUUUAAAAUUAUUGAACUAAAGUAAGGACUACCAGUGAAAGUGUACAUAAUUUCCGCUGAUAGCGUUGAAUUAUCCAAAACAAAACAAGUGAUUAUUGUAAAGAAAUACUGAUAAAAUAAUGUUUAUUUAUCGCUCUCUCAAAAUUUGUUUAUGUGUUGUAAUCUAUACGUAUGUGAGGGUGUGCGUGUUGUGUUUGAAUGUAUGUGUCCAUUUAUAUACAACAAGCUGUUCCCGCGAGCUUUGCUUCGCCUUAAAAAGUUUUCCCAAGGGAAUUCCGCGAUAAAAAGUAGCCUCUGUUCUUUCUCAGGGUCUAGACGAUCUGUAUACCAAAUUUCAUUCAAAUCCGUUCAGUAGUUUUUGCGUGAAAGAGUAACAGACAGACAGACACAGUUACUUUCGCAUUUAUAAUAUUAGUUAGGAUUCAGCAUCAAAAUACCUAAGUACUAUGUAUUUACUGUACAAUGUUUACACAUUUUAUAUGUAAUUCUAAUUUUAAACAAAGUAAAUAAUUUUCUUGAGUCGAAUAAAGGCUGUUUACUGAUUGUUUGUAAAUGAUAACUCAUAUUAACUGUAUAGCAACGCAAAUAUUAAAUGUUUACAUUUCAAAU